AACAGGAUUUAAAUAUUGUUUAAAAGGAUAACAGUCCACACACACACACACACACACACAAAAAAAAAAGUAUCACUUUUGGUUGGGUUUCCUUCAUAUUCCUCUCAAAGCCUCAUAAAUCCUCAUUGCUUUCGCAUAUGCCAUUUUCCAGCUAAAGGAGUUAUGGUAGAACUUGCCAAAACUGCACUUUAAACUGAUAGGUUUAAUAACAAACUUUCUAAGUAAGUUGUUCUCAGAAGUUUUCAGCUUAAAACACUUGCAGGUAGUUUCUUGCCAAUUUUGCAAGUCAAGCUACCUCUGAGGAUAGGGACCUGAUUUUGAAGGUUUUGCUUGCUUGAGACAUUUUCUUUUCUUCAGGAGCACUAAAUAAAUGCUGUUUACUUUAACGUCUUAUUUUAAAAACUCUGGUUAAAAUGGAUCAUUUCUGGCAGCUGGGAUAUAACCUUCCUUUAAAACAACAAGCAGCACCAUAAGUAGUGCAGAACUGGCAGGCGUGUGUCAUACAUUGCUUCGGAUGUAAGUGUUGUGAGAGAGCAGAGAGACCUCAGCUGGUAAGUAAAGUAAGAACUGACUUACCUUUGCUUUUGAAGUCUAAAAAAGUUGUACAUUAUGUUGCUUGGUUGGUUUUUUUCAAUGAUUGGUGAUCUUAUGCCAGGUGGGCUGUUUGAGCAUGUCUUUUUAGAUGUACCUUGAAUUUCCUUUGCCUGAUGGUUAGUGAUUUCUCUUGCCAAUUUAAUAGCCUAGGACUCUCAGUCAUCUUUGUAGAACAGUAAGUAUAUGCAGAGAUGGGUUUGACUGGUGGGUUUUUUUCAACAGUAAUUCAGGCUCACUGUUAUUCUCAUUUCAGUAUGUGCACUUGAAUUUUGGCACAGAGUGAACUCAGAUUUGUCUGUUGGAAAGAUGAGCUGUGUAUGCUUUCAAGUGAUUCCGUUCAUUUUUGGUUUGUUACCUCCAUUUGUACUCAUGUAGUAGUGGGAAAUACGUUCUUAAUGUGUAGUGAAUUUAGCUUCGUGUAGCAAAUACGUAUUAAGACAAAAUUCUUCAAAGAUGCUUAAGUGUUUUAAUCCCACAGGUCCAAAAAGUCACACAAGAGACUAUGAAUUUCACACCUCAUAUCUCUUAGUCCUGUCAGGUAAGACUUAGGUUUGUAAUAGCUUUGAGAGGUUUUGGGACAGAAGGUGCAAUGUAAAUAAUAGUAUUCUUUUUCUAAUGAUUUCCUGUUUUGUUCCGUCUAAUUAAACAAAUAUUCUUAGACUUGAAAUGGGGAAUUAAAACACUUAUUAAAGCAUGAGCAAUAAUAGGGAAAGGCUAUGAACGGAGUAAGCUUAUAUUUUAAGGGUCCGUGUUCAACAUGGUCAAAAACAUGCUUGGUCUUGUUGAAUAUACAGAGUAGUCCCAAGGGACUGUGCCUACACCCGUACUUCUAAAACCAGAGUUCCUUGCAAAGGAAAGGGUGCGAUGUGCCUCAUUGUGCUGGGGAAGGGGAUUCUUUUCUUUCCAGACCUUGAGGAUGCAUUUGCGUGCAAUUAAUGUCUGCUCACACAUCCUGUACAAAGAAACCCUUGAGUCCAGAAGUUGAUUAAAUUGCCUGAAAUACUUUUAAGACGUCAUCCAAGGGGACAAGUGUUUAUUGCAAGUCCAGUGUCCAAAUUCAUUACUCCUGGGCUUGAGGAACCUGCCUUGUCCCCCCACUGUCCCUGUCCUGCUGUGGGUGACAGUGUGCAAGUCACACCUCGGUGGUCUCACUAACAUGCGUUGUUUUGCCCUGGAGAGUAACUAAGCUGUCUGUUCUGUCAAGGUGGCACUGGAUGUGUUGCAUCGCAGGAGAAAGAUGCUGUGAAAGAUGCAUGAUUUAGUUGGAAAUUUUCAACACCAAGUUGGAAUAACUUCAUCUCAUAGCAAUCACAGCUCCUUUUGCUGGGUGAUCCCAGGUCCAGUCAGUUCGUGUUCUGCUCCUCGGAGCCCAGGCUGGGGGUGGGGAGGCUGGGGGAGCAGGGCGCUGAGCAACACCAGCCCAGCCUGUGUGUUGUCUCCACGCAAGUUGUUGAGCUGUCUUCAUCUCUGGAGUGGAAUCACCCUCUUCUCCCUGCGUGGGAGUCUCUCACCCCUGAGCCCCCUAGCAGAGCAGACUUUUCCCCUCCCCUCCAGCUGCAGGCUGGGUGCUGCUGGGCAGACGCUGAGGCUGCGGGGCGGUGCUGGCCCCAGUCCCGGCCCCUUGCCCUCGGGGUCCCUGGCUGGAGCCGCCCAGCUUAUCGCAGUGCGAGUGCGGGGAAGGAGGCGCACACAGCAGGGGCAGGUAAAGUGCCGUGGGGUCCUGGCUCUCCCCAAGAACCCACCAUCUCUUCUUUCUCUUCCGCCCUCUCCUUCCUUCCCUCUCUCCCUUUUCAGGUUGAACCCCUUGAGGGUUUCCUCACUGCAUGUAGCGGGGUUUUUUUCAGAGGUACCGAGAGCUUGGCUGCAAGGGGGAGGAUGGGCACUGACGGAGCAAGGGCUUAUCAGCAAGACUUACUAUUAUGAGGUUAGCUUUCUGGUUAUCAGUCUUCAGAUAAGGCAGUGGCUGCAUCAAGAUGAGUGAUAAAAUGUCUAAGAUUUCUUCACAUGGAAGAGCAGCUGCUUAGGGAGCAAGAGGAGAAGGCAAUCUGAGAACUCCUCAUACCGGAGAGUCGUGCGAGGGUGACAUCUCAGAGAUCCGAUCCCAACACAUGCUGCUGUGGUGCAAACAGUGAUCCGUGGGGAGAUGCUGGAUGGGAUCUGCAGGGAUCCCCACAGGGUGAUUUGGGAUUGUCUAAAAGCCGCGGUGAACUUCUGCAAGUGGACCAGCUGUGCUGACAAGAGGAGCUAUUUCAUCCUGCAGAUUGUCUUAUCAAGCAGGGCUGUGUCACAGCAGACUUGUUCUGCGCCUGCUCAUUGUCCAUUGGAGGUAGUCAGGAUAAAACAGCACUUUUCUUAGCAUUUAAUCUCCUUGCCUAUUCAUGUAGCAUGCUUGAAUUAAAAUAUACUCCCUGAUCAAAGUGAAUGAGUUGGAAUAAGUAAAUCACAUUUGACAUUGGUAGCAUGAUUUAAGCUAUGCAGAGUGAUCAGACCUUACUGCAAAAUUAACACGGCAAAGGCAGAAACAAACACAAGAAAGUUCAUUGUCUAGGAAACCAGAUACAUCUGAAUGAGAGACAAGUACUGUGGUGCUCCCAAAAGAACAGCUGAAAAGGGUUUCAGUGUGUGCAAGAACAGGACAGAGGCAAUUGCUUCUUAAAGUCUAGUGUUUAAACUUUUCAUCAUCCGUCAGUUUGAACCAUUUCUGUUAGAAGACUGGAGUUAUGUAUUUGCAGUAGACCAAGGUAUUGCUUGAGGCUGUUGAAAGACAUUUUCGUAAAAGAGCAAUGUGCUGAUACGUGAGAUUAAACAAUCUGAAAAAGGUGUUUGUGUUUAUCAAAAGUUCAGAUCUGUAACUCAAGCCAUGGUAAGGAACUUCAAAUACAAAUUAAAAAAAAAAAAAAGUAUGCAAAUUCAGCAACAAAGAGAAAUGCAGAAAUUAAGCGUGGCUGCAGAUAAACCCUUAAAAUAUGGGAAAAGGAGAGAAAACCUAACAAAGUCAUCUCAGGGUCAGAGCAAAGUUGGCAAACAGGGCCCUUGGUGUCAUUUGUUAAAGUCAGGGACAAAUCCCAGUGUAAGAAGCUGCAAUCUGUAUAGCAGGGCAUCAUGUAAUAUCCCAGAUUAAUUAAUUGUUUUACCUGUGGGGCUGGUGACUCACGACGGGGCAGAGGGCCAGGUUGAGAGCGCAGAGGCAGAAAAUCCUUUGCAGUAAACGCGGUGUGAUGUGGAUCGAAGCAGCAGAUGGUCCCCGGUGCUGUGGGAGGGACAUGGCUGCAGAAAUACCUGCGUGAGUGAGACCUGCUCAGUCUCUGUGUCCUUUCCCUCCCUACUGCCUGUCAGGCUGGGCAUCCCUGCAGUGAUUAUCCUCGUCCUUCAGGAACUAGACUGAAAGCAACAAAUUCAUUUCGUGGAGGACGACUGUAAGACUAUCAAGACUUGUCUUACAAGAAUCAGUGACACUCUGGUGAAAAGCUCCAGGUAUCCUGUUAUGGCCCUUCCGGAAAAUUUAUUCUCUCAGUGAUCUUUAUGAUGCAUAGCACAGGGCAGCAGGGACAGCGACAGAUUCUAAAGCACAUUUCCUAGCUGAUGGUGAAAAACUGCUGGUGCAGUUCUCAUGACUACAAAGACUAGUGCUUUGGUCCAUCCUAAUGAAGUGUCGUGUUCUUGAACCCCAUUUCCCAAAUGUGUCACUUCUGGUUCAGAAGGGCACAGGGAGGUUUUCCCCCUUUUUGCAGGGGGAGGGCAGCACUCCCCACCUGGAGCACCCUGCAGGGAGACAGGACGAGCCAAGGGCCAGGGCUCAGGUGGCUGGCGGUGGAGGGUUCCAGCCCUGGUCUGCAGUAAUAGUCCAGGCAACUUAAUGAGCUAGCAAAGGCUUGGGGUUUGCUUAGAGUUUCUUUUUCCAUUUUCAUUCCCUCAAUUUCUUUUCUAUUUUAUUUGAGUUUAAAAGCAUUUUGUUAUUUGUUUUUGGUUUGCUUGUUUUAAACUCAGCCACAUUUAACUCAUGUUUAAGAGGAAUGUGGCUUAGUAAAUAAGCAGUGCUACUAGGAAGAAAAUUAGAAGAGCUAAAGGAGAAUAAAUCUGGCUGCGCCUACAGACUUUUAUUUGCAUAAAACAUAUCUCUAUCCUGGAAAAAAGUCUAAAUUAAAAACUUGGGAGCAAGCACUUUCGGGUCGUUCUGAUCUUUAUCUGUACUCCGUAGCUUAGACUGCUAUGAAAGUUUUGGGUGAAUAUUGCCUUUUUACUAUUUUUAUUUUCCUUUUCAAUCCAAAUACCCUCUCAUUCUAACAAACACUAGAAGAAAUGUCCAGACUUUUGAAGAUAUGUUUCUUAUUGAUAUCAAUGAAUCGUGCUGAGAUUACACACAGUCAGGACUCUGAAGAUUUGCCUCCAUUAUUGCACAAAGCUGUGGAGGAAGUAAUUACUGGGAAAUAUCUAAAUGCCCUCCUUGAUGUACUUCAUUUUCAGAGUUCUAAUGUCUGGACAGCAGAUAUGCUUACAAAAGUCAUGGCGUAUUUUCAUGCCCGGGAAGUUAUGUUUACUCUUAGCAGCCUACAGAUGUCUAUAAAAAGUUACCUGAAGAACCUUUUAUACCAGCCUAGGCAGCUACUAUCUGAAUUUCAACAGCUUGAUCAGCAGCAGUUCCAAACUGCAAUGAAGUAUCUCUUCAACAGCAGAAAGGACCAUCUUGAAAUGGGAAAUAUUAUUCUUGAUUGGGAGAAGACUAGAGACAGAAUUUUUCAAAGUCCAGGAGUAAAUAGGACCCUGUUCCUUAUAACACUGGAUAAAUGCUUCCUGACUCUGAGUGCUUUGGACUGUGUGGAUAUCCUAAGCCAGGUUUUGCGCACGUCAGCAGUGAACUAUCUCCAACCUGAUGUAAUUGGGAGACUCCCAAAUGUUCUACAGGAGGAUGCUUUCAGAAACUUAUCGACGGUAUUCAAGGACCUCUAUGACAAAACCUCAGCAAAUACACGGAGAGCUCUGUAUGGCUGGAUGAAGCAGAUGCUACAAAAAUCCUACGACAUGAGUGAGUUCAAUGAACCAAUUUCUUGGGUCAGUGCAGAAAACUUAUGGAUUUUGGGAAGAUACAUAGUUCAUCUCCCAUUAGAAGAAAUUCUGAAAAUCAAUCUCAAUGAAAUAAGACUAUUCGUUAGCUAUGACAAUGCAACAAAGCAGUUGGACACAGUGUAUGAUAUCACACCAGAGCUUGCACAAGCUUUCCUGGAAAGAAUAAACUCAUCAGGAUUUGAUAUGAAAAAUACUUCAACCAUCUACAGGCUUGGUUUAUUGGUUUGCUUUUACAAUGACAUGGAACAGGUGGAUGCUGCUGUUGCUCGGGCUUUACUUCAUCAGAUGAUUAAAUGCAAUCAGUUGAGAGGUUUCCAGGCUGAGGUUCAGAAGCUCAAAUCUCAACUCCUGAACAUUGCCACGCGAAACCAGACAUUGAAUGAUGUCCUUGGAUCUCUGUCAGAUGCCGUGGUUGGGCUAACUUCAAGUCAGCUGGAAUCUUUGUCACCUGAAGCGGUGCAUAAUGCUAUUGCAACGUUAAACCAAGUCACUGGGUGGGCAAAAAGCCAAGUCAUUAUUUUAUCCAGUAAAUACCUCUCAUAUGAAAAGGUUUUGUCAUUUUAUAAUGUUAGUCAAAUGAGCGCGUUGGUAACUGGUAUUAGCACCCAGUCAUUCUACAGUAUGAACCCAAAGGAGCUUUCUCAGAUUAUUCGAGGCACAACAUCCCAGUACUUACCUGACUUAUCGUCUGCACAACAACAGGGGAUCCUCAGGAAGAUAACUGCAUCUGGAGAUUUUUCGUCAUCAAUCAAAGAUAUACAAGGAGCUUGCUUUAAAGAAAUAUCUCUCUCUGAUUUAUGGAAGCAGACUGGAUAUAAUUCUUCAAUGAUGAAAGAAAAAGAACUAAGAAGAAGCCAGGCUUUGUAUCUGUAUGAGCUACUGUCUAAGAAAAACUAUCCUGUUGAGCUUCUAAGCGCAGGACAGCUUGUGAAAGGAGUAACUUGUCAACUCAUUGAAAGUAUGGGCACGGACAUUUUUUUGAACAAUUUCAAAUUCUUUGAAAACAACCUUCACCUGCUUUCUCCAUAUCAGGUUAAUUGUUUGGCUUGGAAGUUUUGGAAAGUCUCUAAUGCAUCUAUUCCUCCCUUCCUCUUAUCAGUGCUUCCGGUUGAGUACCUGGAGUAUGUUUCAGGCCCUUCGUGCAUCCCUUUCAUUGAAAGUCUGAGGAGGACUGACAUGGACCUUUUGAAUCCAAGCCUCCACAAAAAGAACGCUGUCCUGCAAAAAGUGCAGGAGUGCUUGAAUGGCUCCAUUGCUGAUGAAUAUGAUGUUGACCUACUUGGAAAUCUAAUCUGCCUCUUACCUCCAGCCUUUCUACAUGGCAGCAUGUCCCUGAAGGCAAUGGCAACAGCCCUUCAUCAAUUCAAACUCUGCCGACAGCUCUGCCAUGAGCAGAAGACUGAAAUUAAAUAUAAACUCCUUGAGUUAUAUGGCUCCCCAAAGAACUGGACAGCUGAAACAACUUUAGAUGUUGGACCAUUUGUAGCUCUGCUGUCAAAAGGGGAAUUAGAUGUCCUUGCUGAAAAGUCUCGAAGAAAACGCUUGCUAUUUGACUUUUUUCCAGAUUGCCUGGGAACCAGAGCUCCUUCUUCAAAUGAAAUUAUUAAAUUAGCAGAAGCAAAUGUCUUUUGGUCCGUUCAGGAACUGAAAUGCAUGGAUGCAGGGACUUUUGACAAAAAUGUGGAACUUCUUGGGACUGUCUCAAGUUUUAACAGCUCCCAGCUUAUUGCCUUGAAGGAAAAAGCCAAGCAGGUCUGGGGAUCGCUGCCAGACUGGAAGAGUUAUCAUAUUGUUUCUCUGGGCCACAUUGCUCUGGCACUCACUGAACAUGAAAUUGAAGAGCUGGAUUUGCAUUCUAUUGACACCAUUUCUGUCCUUAGUCAGCAAACAGAAUGGACUCUUACCCAGGCAAGAUCUAUUUUGCAAGGUUUUCUAGAAGACUCUGGCCAGACGAUCAGUACACUAAAAAGCUUUGAUUUAGUUGGCUUAGGAGCUAUUCUCUGUGCUCUGAACUCCUCGGAAAUCAUGUCCAUAAGGACUGCUGAAUUCAGUGCUGCUGUUGCAAGAAUUGGCCUGUUGUUGUGUAGCACCCCUGUUCUGAGACAGUUUAAGGAGAUAACAGAAUCUGUGUUUGGUCCUGCUACCAGCUGGAACAGCUCUGUUUUACAAGAGAUUGGUACUAUAGCAGGUGGCUUGAAUGAGGAUGAAUUAAAAGCAUUUGAUAGAAACUUGAUGCCUUAUUUCCAGCCAAAAGGAAUAAGACUUAUACCUCCUGAAAUUUUCCAAGCAUUGUCCCCAGAACAAAUAGCAAACCUGGGCCCUGAAAAUGCCGCCAUGGUUACCAGGUCGCAGCGUGAGCAUCUGAAUGCGUUGCAGCUCCAGAGCCUGCAGCUGGCGCUGGACGGAGCCAGGCCCAGCACCCCAGGGACACAGCAGGGUGCGAGCGCUACCCAGGCGCUGCAAACCCCGGCUCCGGGCGGUGAGUACGUCAGUCCCUCCUCCCGCUUGGAGGAGGACACACGCUCCAGUGGGCUGUGCAGUCCCACAGCAUCCACCAGAAUCAGACCUGUAUUUUGAAGGUGGGUUACUGUCAAUUCUCUAAACAGCUUUUUAACUCAUGCCUCAAAUCAUGUCUGACCAAGACAAACAGCAAGGAUGUUGUUGGAUUUAGCCACAGCAAUAGAUAAUGAAGGUUGUCAGGUGGCAUUAACAACUAUAUGCUGCUAGUAUGCUAAGCUUAGCAUACUAGCUAAGCACUAGCUUGUGUAAAAUGUAGCCUGAAAGAGUGAGCUUUUCCUUCUCCUUCUUUCCUGUAUUCUUUGCCUAAAUGUAAGGCAGAGAUCUCCACCUCUGGACUUUCAGAUCACAACCUUUAUCUGCAGCAGAACCUUGUUUGCAGAGCUGCUAGUGGGAAAGGAGGGAGCACUGGGGUGGGUUAGCGUCUUUAUCCAGACUGUAAGACCCCUUGAACAGUUUUUCUUGCUGUUCCCAUCCUGUUUGGAAUUAAAGCCUAUUAGUACAUUUGCUUCAGUGGUUUAUUUUACUUCUCCAUAUUGCAAUUUAUACUGGGCAAGUUAUGCUGAACUGCAUAGUGACACUAACAAAUGAUGCCUUCUGCUCUUCAGGUGCUCCCUGUCUGAGUGGCUUCAGCAUCUCGUUAUGUGCUGUGUUUAUGCUGCACCUACCUUUCUGAAUCCAAAUUUGUUAAGCUUGAGUGUCCUGGAGCUUGCAGAAGAGAUGCUAGAGACAAAGAGCUGCAGCUCAGCCUGACAGUAGAAUCAAGAGGCUCUGAGAUGCCUGAGUGCAAAGUGUUUAAUUUCUUAAAAGCAACACCUUCACCUGCCAUCCUGAUGUGAAGUACCCCCUUUCCCUGCCCUUUACCAUUAACCAGUAACACAGGAUCCCUUCAAAUACUUCAGACAAAUUUUAAAACUGGAAAUGGCUUGUCUGUCUCCUGAGAAAAUCACUGAAAGGUAUGCUUACGUGUUAGGAAGGAGCCUGAAUGACCCAGGAGACCGGUAGCAGGUGACUUAUUUGGAGGCUGAUGUAUUGUACCCAGUGCUUUUUACAUUGGCUAAUUUGGUCACACUAUUGCAUCCAUCUGUUAGGUUUUCUUCUUGUACUUAGAGUGUACGUUCCUCCGGACAGAGGCUAUCCUUCCGUGCAUAGGAGAAACCAGACUAAAAGUUACGGCUUUUGCAAUAAAAUAACUUCAUCUCUGGGCUGCUGGUUUAAAUCCUGCUCAGAUAAGAAGUGAUGAUGUGUUCUUACAAUUUAAGCACCUGUGUGAAAUGUAGUUCCCCGUGGCUGCAUGUAUUCAACGCCAGAACUGUUGACACAGAGGGCACUGGCAAUACUAUUAGUAUUUCAUGUGACAAAAGGCGCCAUGGAAACCUGCUGGUGUUCAUCACGAGGUUGUCCCUUACCUCGGGCGGGGCUGAAGCACACGCGUGGCAAUGGUAAGGGAAAAGUGUUCAUUGCGUCUGUGUACUACGAGGACAGUCAAUCCAGUACUUUCUACAAGCUCUAUAAUAACUAAUUUCUCAUCGUUAUAAACCACAAACAAUUUCAUGUGUUUUAUCAACAUAUGGCUUACAUGUCUAAUGUUUUUCAUGCCAUGCCUCUGUAUUUUAAACAAUGGAAAAAACAGAUACAUUAAAAAUCCUCUGCAUGUGAACAUA